AAUUUGGUGAGCCUCUCCACUUUGCAGAUUUGCCUCAUCUUGUCUAUUUGAACCUUGGUAACAACCACCUCUUGGGCGGAAUCCCUUCAAGCAUUGGGGCUCUUGCGGAGCUCACAUACUUGGAUCUGUCCGUCAACGACCUGAACGGAUCUAUCCCACCUUCCAUAGGAAAUUGUACAAAACUAUCUUCCCUCGAUCUCUCUUACUACAAUUUGUUUCUACCAUGCCUAGUAAAGUAGGAAGACUAGGGAAUUUGAUGAGCAUCUCCAUUUUGCAGAUUUGCCUAAUCUUGUGUAUUUGAACCUUGGUGAUAACCACGUCUCGGACAAAAUCCCUUCAAGCAUUGGGGCUCUUGCGGAGCUCGCAUACUUGGAUAUGUCCGUCAACGACCUGAACGGAUCUAUCCCACCUUCCAUAGGCAAUUGUACAAAACUAUCUUCCCUCGAUCUCUCUUACU
rnacentral:lncRNA from 1 species